rnacentral:rRNA from 1 species
AGACCCGAAACCCGGUGAUCUAGCCAUGGGCAGGUUGAAGGUUGGGUAACACUAACUGGAGGACCGAACCGACUAAUGUUGAAAAAUUAGCGGAUGACCUGUGGCUGGGGGUGAAAGGCCAAUCAAACCGGGAGAUAGCUGGUUCUCCCCGAAAGCUAUUUAGGUAGCGCCUCGUGAAUUCAUCUCCGGGGGUAGAGCACUGUUUCGGCUAGGGGGCCAUCCCGGCUUACCAACCCGAUGCAAACUGCGAAUACCGGAGAAUGUUAUCACGGGAGACACACGGCGGGUGCUAACGUCCGUCGUGAAGAGGGAAACAACCCAGACCGCCAGCUAAGGUCCCAAAGUCAUGGUUAAGUGGGAAACGAUGUGGGAAGGCCCAGACAGCCAGGAUGUUGGCUUAGAAGCAGCCAUCAUUUAAAGAAAGCGUAAUAGCUCACUGGUCGAGUCGGCCUGCGCGGAAGAUGUAACGGGGCUAAACCAUGCACCGAAGCUGCGGCAGCGAACGUAUCACUUAAAGCGAUUCAGCGGGUUACGAUUGACGGAGCGAAGCGACGUCAAAGCGUAUACAAAGUCGAGUCGGUUUAAGGAUACGUUCGUUGGGUAGGGGAGCGUUCUGUAAGCCUGCGAAGGUGGCCUGUGAGGGUUGCUGGAGGUAUCAGAAGUGCGAAUGCUGACAUAAGUAACGAUAAAGCGGGUGAAAAGCCCGCUCGCCGGAAGACCAAGGGUUCCUGUCCAACGUUAAUCGGGGCAGGGUGAGUCGACCCCUAAGGCGAGGCCGAAAGGCGUAGUCGAUGGGAAACGGGUUAAUAUUCCCGUACUUGGUGUUACUGCGAAGGGGGGACGGAGAAGGCUAUGUUGGCCGGGCGACGGUUGUCCCGGUUUAAGCGUGUAGGCUGGUUUUCCAGGCAAAUCCGGAAAAUCAAGGCUGAGGCGUGACGACGAGGCACUACGGUGCUGAAGCAACAAAUGCCCUGCUUCCAGGAAAAGCCUCUAAGCAUCAGGUAACACGAAAUCGUACCCCAAACCGACACAGGUGGUCAGGUAGAGAAUACCAAGGCGCUUGAGAGAACUCGGGUGAAGGAACUAGGCAAAAUGGUGCCGUAACUUCGGGAGAAGGCACGCUGACACGUAGGUGAAGUGAUUUACUCA